AUUGAACGCUGGCGGCAUGCUUUACACAUGCAAGUCGAACGGUAACAGGCCUUCGGGUGCUGACGAGUGGCGAACGGGUGCGUAAUGCAUCGGAACGUACCCAGAGGUGGGGGAUAACGCAGCGAAAGCUGUGCUAAUACCGCAUGUGAUCUGAGGAUGAAAGCGGGGGACCGAGCAGCAAUGUUUGGCCUCGCGCCUUUGGGGCGGCCGAUGUCGGAUUAGCUAGUUGGUGGGGUAAAGGCCUACCAAGGCGACGAUCCGUAGCUGGUCUGAGAGGACGACCAGCCACACUGGGACUGAGACACGGCCCAGACUCCUACGGGAGGCAGCAGUGGGGAAUUUUGGACAAUGGGCGCAAGCCUGAUCCAGCAAUGCCGCGUGCGGGAAGAAGGCCUUCGGGUUGUAAACCGCUUUUGGCAGGAACGAAACGGUGUCCGCUAAUACCGGGCGCUAAUGACGGUACCUGCAGAAUAAGCACCGGCUAACUACGUG
rnacentral:rRNA from 1 species